rnacentral:rRNA from 1 species
UACAGAGGCCUCGAGCGUUAGGCGGAAUCACUGGGCUUAAAGCGUGUGUAGGCGGACUUCUAAGUACCUUGUGAAAUCCCACGGCUUACCCGUGGAACUGCUCGGUAUACUGGUUGUCUUGAGCUUUCUAGGGGCGAGCGGAACAAAUGGUGGAGCGGUGAAAUGCGUAGAUAUCAUUUGGAACGCCAAUGGUGAAAACAGCUCGCUGGGGAAAUGCUGACGCUGAGACACGAAAGCCAGGGGAGCGAACGGG